rnacentral:lncRNA from 1 species
GGAAGAAAUCAAUAAAGAGUUUGAAGAGAAGAAGCCUGAGCUCCAACCUAAAGUGGUCGAAAUCUAUGAAGCUUCUUCAGCUGAAAUCAAGGUCUCUACAUGAAUGAACAUACCAAAUCUGUUAUAGCUACAAAUGUCAGAGAGAAUUAAAAAGAUCCAAUUCAUGCAAGUUUUUAUUUAUUAAUUUAACCUUUUUUUUUUUUUUUGGCUUUGGCUUUGGCGUUUAAAUGAAAAUACAGACCCUGGUCAAGGAUCGCAAGGAGGAUGGACUUAAGAAGCACUCCACUGCUGUGCACAAGUUACUUGAAGAACUCGUUAAAAUCGGUAAAAUAGUUCUAUCACAUAUGGUAUUAUUAAUUAAAGUUAAGGUCAUGUGUUAAAAUCACAUGAGAAUUUUAUUAACAUAUAUGUAUGUGUGUAUAUACAGAGUUUCCAGGAUCAAAAGCAGUAAGUGAAGCAUCGUCAAAGUUUGGGGCAGCCUCUGUUCCGGGGCCAGUUUUCUUCAUAUUUGAGAAGGUCUCAACGUUUAUUGUUACUGAAGAAAAAGCAGCAGAGCCAGCAACCGCGGCAGCAGGAGAAGAAACAAAACCAGAACAAGAGACAACAAGUAGUAGUACCGCCGCAGUCACAGAGAAGGACGACGUAGUUGUUGAGGAAGAGAAGAAAGAAGAGGCCCCCGCCGGCCCUGAGAAAACUGAGCCGGCAGAAGCCGCCGCCGCCCCAGCCCCAACUGAGCCUCUUCCUGCCGCCGCCAAGGAGGACCAACCAGCUGCUGCAGAGCCACCAAAGCCUUGAGAACAUGCAUCAACUGACAAGACAAAUUCAUAUCCAUAUAUACAUAGAUAUAUAUUUCAUAUUCAUCAAGUGAAAGUGAAGUAAUAAUGUUAAUAUUUUGUGUACGUAAAAGUCUUGUAAAAUGCAAAACAUGAUUUGUUAUUCUUUCUUUUUCCUCUAUAUGCGCAUGUAUAUCACCUACUUGUUUUUUUUUCCCUUGUAUUAUUUUGUUUUACAGUCUUUAUUUUUACUUUCUUUAUUAUUAUUAUUUUUUGUAUUUGUGAAUUAUUAUUAUUUGUAAUAUUUAAUUUUUACAAUACAGGGAUUAAUGUGGUGGGUGGAGAUACCCUUAACGCUUUAGUUGCUUUCAUUGAUUUGAUUGUAUGUGUUUUCCUCAUGGAGAUCAUUUAAAAAGAGAUAGGCAAAAAAAAAAAGAAAAAAGAAUAUUGAUGAUGAGAAGUUAUUUGUUUAUAAUUAAUAAUUCCAAG